rnacentral:lncRNA from 1 species
AUAGAAUGUUAGAUUUCCACUCAACACCUAAUUUAAAAAUAAAAUAAAAUUUAAAAAUUGGUAUGAUUGGACGGAAGGAGUGGGACCCAAUCUCAUGGAGUCCACAGAUUUGAUGUGGUCUUCGUAGACGAGUGAAGGCAACCCCCGACGCGCCUUUGCCUUGGUUUCGGAAUCUUCCUGCCGAAAACUGGUCACCAAUUUAAAGUUCAAACUCGGCGUCCCACGUGUUAAGUCAACGUCUCGCACCUACGCGCCAGCCAACCCUCUUAAUUUCUCGUUAUGUUCAUAUUUCAACUUUAUCAAUUUAAUCACAUGCCUAUUUCUCUUUUGAAUUUACCCACUAACACUUUUAUGGUAGCUUACAAGAAAUUUCUUAAUCCAUAUAAAAUAAAAAGAAAAGUACUAAAAAUUUAUUUAAUUAUUUUUUAGUAUUUUUGUUUAAGGUACUCUUAUUUAACUAAAAGAGAAUAUAUUUUUUUCCAACAAAGAAAAGGAGAAUAUACUUUUAAUUCUUCAAGGUUGUUCUCCUUAAAAUUCUUCAUGUUUGUUUUUGAUUUUCAAAUGCAAGCUCAAUUAAUAUAUAUAGAAAGUCAGUAGAAUUUAUUUUUACUUCUUGUGUUUGUAAUAGAGAUGCAUAUCUAGUAGCUUCUUUUGUCUCGCGAGAGGGUGGCUUCCAUAUGUGAAAUUGUUUUGAGUCAGAGUGGUUGUUUAAUGCUUUGACUUCUGAUGUAAACGUUUCUAGUCGAAUUUAAUGAUAAUAGUUCUUUAAAAAAAAUUAUAUAUGUGGGAGGUCUAACCAUUUUAUUUGUCCGACACAAUCAAGAUUUUAACCUAUUGAAAGUUUCUACAGUGUUUUUCUUAUCUCAUCUUGUGAUAAAUUUAUUUUUUCUAAUGGAGAGAGAUAGGAAAAAAUAGUGUUGAAAAACAAAGUCUUAAUAUCUAAAAUAAAAUUAAUAAAAGAGCUGCAGUUUGAGGCGUAGUUGGUUAAGCUAAUAGGACUCAUGCACUCGAGGUCUCAAAUUCAUUUUCCUAAAGGAACUUUAGCGAAAAGUUUCCGCUACUGUUCACUUUAACGAAAAACCACAUUUUUACAAUAAAAAGUCAAUUUUAGUACUAUUCACUUUACCCUUUAUUUUGUCUUUAUCGUUAAAAUUCAAAGUUUUCAAGCCAUUUUUAUUAGUUUUCUUUUUUCCUGGUUCUUAGUAAC